rnacentral:lncRNA from 1 species
CUCACUGUUGUAUCUUGAAUAAACGCUGCUGCUUCAUCCUGUGGGGGCCGUGGCCCUGUCCCUGUGUGGGUGGGGCCUCUUCCAUUUCCCUGACUUAGAAACCACACUCCACUUCUAACAGGGUUUGAGAGGCUUGGUCAGCACUGGGUAGCGUUUUGACUCCAUUCUUGGCUUUCUUCUUUUUCUUUCCAGAAGGAUUUUUGUGCAGAAAUGGGUCUUUUGUUGCCGUGUUAGUCCUCCUUGGAAGGCAGCUCAGAAGGCC